UUCGUUUUGCUGUUGUAAUCUAGGGCUUUUUUCUCGGGUUUUUCUUUCUUUCUCUGUCGCCUCUCUUUCACCUCCAUCCUUUUCUCUGAAGAUCUGCUACCAUUGAAAGCGCGUCUCUCACCUUCUCACUCCUUCUCGGAUGCUUUCAAAACACUUUAAGAUUAAGUCGUUUUAUGGAGAUCUCAAAGGGUAAAGUUCGAGGAUUACGAGAAGGAGUUCGAGUAUGAAACUAUGGAUACAAUCACAAGUUGAAAUCGACUAUGUUCAGCAUCAACAAAUAGAUACUAAAAAUGACCUCGGAUUAUGGGGAUCUGAUGAUAUGAAUGGCUUGUGUAGUUGAAAUCGGCAACGAAGAAAACUUUGAAUUGCUUUAAUGGUUUGAGAAAAGGAAGGUAUGAGAUAAUUGGUAAGCCACAUCCUUAAUUAAAAAGGAAUAUGCUGCUCCAGUGCUCCCAUUAUCUCAUGUAAAUGGACCAAGGGUUUUGAGAAGAAUUUCAAGGUUAUUAGUGUGUCUUGCAACUAAUGCUUACAUUCAGCCAGAGGAAUCCUUGAAUCAAGAAAUGAAUUCACUAUUUUAAAGGACCGUGAAAAAGUAAGUUGACAAUCUCAUGCGUUUCCUAGAGAGAAUUAAUUCCCGGCUCUCCAACUUAGAAUAGUAUUGCUACAACAUUGACAAGUCAAUUGAGGAAAUGCAUUCUUACUUGGGUCUUAAAGUUUCUGGAGAAACAUGUUCAAGAGGAAUAGCCCAAUACAAAUACAGUUUUUCAACCUUACGGUGUUGGAUUACCAAUGUCGCUGCAUCUAUAGCUUGGCAAUUUCCCAUAUUUCUUUGUUUCUCUCUCCUCCUGCUUCAGAGAGUUUCAUGGUCAUGGAGGUGUAUGUGUCAGCCCGCUCAGCCUUUUUUACCUCAUGAUCACAGCACGGGCUAGGCCGCUGUAGGGAAAGAUUAAAGGCCAAGGCUUGAGUUACAAAGAGAUUCAAAUGAGAGGAUUUUUUGCUUUCAGAAAAAAGAUGUGGACACGUCGUUGCAUCUUUCUCCUCCACACUGCUUCAUUACGUUCAGCCCUGCCCUAAGUCUUUCUUCCUCCUUCUUUUGCUUGCUCGAGCUUCCAUUUUCUCUUUCCACUCGCUUCUCUUCUUGGUAUAAUCUCAUCUGCCAUCUGCUAUGGAAAAUUUCCGACUACACAAUUCCGAAUGAAGGGAGGUUGGAUCUAUUAGAUUGAAAAAUGAGGGUUUAAUUCAAAUAUUGCAAAGAUUCUCCGCCUUUGACUGGGUUUCUACUUCUAGAUAUUUUGCUUGGUUGAUGCGGCGGUGAAAGCAACGGAGCUUCAAGUUGCUUCAAGUUCAGUAGGAUAAAUUACGCGAAAAAACCCUCGCUCUCCCCAAGCCAAAGAAUCCAAUAACACAACCAAGAAGUUGGGAAAGUGAGAAGUAACAAGGAAGAAGAGCAACAACAACAACACGUUGGCAGCAACAACCGUCAGCUUCAGAAGACCGUAUCUCUUAGCUCAGGGUUCCAAUUUUAGUAAUUCUUGAGCCUAAAUUCAUUAGAAUGAAGAGAUACACAGUUCUUAUUCAGAGAACAGAAGCUCAAAAUGAUCAGAAGAUUGUCGAAAUAAUAGAAAGAGAAUCUGGUGCUGACAUCACAACAACAGCAGCAACAGUUAGCUUCGUAAGGGAUUAUCUCUUGGAAUAAUGCUCCAAAUUGAGUGAUUCUUGAACCUUAACUGGUUAACUUUUCAAGGCCUACAACUUUCAUGAAGGGCGAAUUGGCUAAAAAUGAGCGUAUGAUGGAUGAAUUUAAUCAAACAGAACCGACCUUUGAGAAGUGCCAGCAAGAGGAGGAAGAAGAUGAGAUGGGUCUUUUGGGUCUUCUAAUUGGGUUGAUAGAUUAAGAACUUGCCUUACUAAUGUGGAUAAAGGAGGAAUUGACAACAAAUCAAAGAGACAUGUUAUGUGUGUGCAUCAGCUUCCUGAACUGCACCAGUUGAUGAUUGAGGCUGCUGAAAUAUUGAAUGUUGAGGCUCUGGAUUUGUACGUUCGCUAGAGCCCAACGCCAAAUGCAUAUAAUUUAUCCAUCAACGGUAAUGUCCUGACCGUCCCAAGUACAUGGGCGCCUUCUCAGAGCAGACCACAUCAUACCUUAUUGGUGAAAUCCCCAUCAUGGGAUACGGCUGGACUAUCAGUAGACCCCUGAAACCUUCGCCAGGAACCGUGAGGUGUGAGCUCAAGGUCAUCAACUCUUGAUGGGAUAUGCUUGGUGCCCUGGGCUGUGUAUUCCUCGAACUCUUGUCAAAGAGCGGUGUCAGAUUGGGUGAAGUCGCAUGGUUUAAGGACAGAUCCCUAAUAGGGAACACAAUACUUGAUACCAGAUUUUCGCUUGUCUGCCGAAGUUAAAACACAACACAGUUGGUUUUCUGCAUCAGCCAUCCAAUUAAGCAUGUUGAAGAAUUAGAUCCAACUCAGUAAACUGUCAUUGGAAACUUCAUGGUUCAAGAACUCGAUGGAUCAGCCGUGAACGAAUAGGGUUGGUUCAACCAAAAGAGAUGCUGCAAGGAGAAGGAGAUCACCCUCAGAAGAUGAAGAAUUUUGUUUUUUCGCUUGUUUAAUUAUGUGAUUGAUAGUUGAUGGACUACAUACAAAUGAAAACAGGUAUGGGAUAAAGCUAUGGUUGAUAGGAAAACUGAAGAAGCAAGGAUAAUAAGUUCUCUACUUCUCUGUAAUUAUUUUUGUGGAGAGGGGGGGGGGGGGGGGGGUUAGGGAAUUUUUAGGGGUCAUAUUUAUGUAUACUCUUAUUCAGGGUUGGGGUCUAAUCUGUUCAGCGCAUUCUACCCUGCUCACAUCACUUAGUUUUUUGUUGUGUCAGCUGUUCUUUGUCGUUUCUUUGUUGUUUUUAAGUAUCAGCAACACUGGUGCCACAGAUUCACGCAAGCCACCUGAUGUUAUUCUAUUCUCCGGAGUGUGCUGAUGUUUUCAUUUUUAAGCUUGAAUAAAAUGUGUUAGUCGGAGGCAGUGCAACAAGUUGGUUCAAGCUUGUUACGUAGUCUGGUUUUCUGUUGUUGGUUGUGAUUGUUGCUCCAUAAGUUUUGACCAAAGUGGUCAUGUUGACUUGGUGUGUUGCUGUUGUUUGCUAUAGAGGGCACAUAGUCUCCAUGAGUUUGCAUAAUGACGAAUUCUUAAAACUGAUUUCUUAUUUAUGUACCUCGUGUGUUUGCAUAAUUGUAAUAUUUGAUCAGUUUGAAUCCUCA